rnacentral:rRNA from 1 species
GAUUUCUGGUGUGGUGUACCGAGCCCGCCACUUUUGGUGGCGAGUGCUUGUUUUGUGCGCCUACCAUCCUUCUGGAUAGCGUAUUCUACCCUUCACUGGGCCGGAGUACGUGAUCUGGAUCUUUUACUUUGAAAAAAUUAGAGUGUUUAAAGCAGGCUUUAAUGCUAUGAAUACAUUAGCAUGGAAUAAUAAGAUAGGACUUUGGUUCUAUUUUGUUGGUUUCUAGGACUGAAGUAAUGAUUGAUAGGGACAGUUGGGGGUGCUAGUAUUUAACGGCCAGAGGUGAAAUUCUUGGAUUCGUUAAAGACUAACUUAUGCGAAAGCAUU